UACGUAGGGGGCUAGCGUUGUCCGGAUUUAUUGGGCGUAAAGAGCGUGUAGGCGGCCAGGUAGGUCUGGUGUGAAAACUCGAGGCUUAACCUCGAGAUGUCAUCGGAAACCAUCUGGCUAGAGUCCGGAAGAGGAGAGUGGAAUUCCCAGUGUAGCGGUGAAAUGCGUAGAUAUUGGGAGGAACACCAGUGGCGAAGGCGGCUCACUGGACCGGAACUGACGCUGAGGCGCGAAAGCGUGGGGAGCAAACGGG
rnacentral:rRNA from 1 species